UAGCCUGCUGAUCUGGGAGGGAGCAUUUAGUCCUCCUAUGCCUCCUUUCUCCAGCUGUGGUCUUUUUUCUGAAACAAAGAAGAAAUAGUCAAAUCAGACUUGCCCUCUUGGAAAUGUGGUCCAGAUUGCUCUACUCCCAAGCUCCAGAAAA
rfam:Vicugna pacos cont1.116081, whole genome shotgun sequence.